UGGUGAGAAGGGAAUGCUGUAGGUUACAGGUCCUGGUAAAUAGAUGCAGAGAUCUUCCUUCAGGUGGGGAGGUCGCUUCAUCUUAGCAGAUCUUGUCAGAUGGUGUCGGACCACAUAAAUUUGGUCUUCCCAAAUGUCCCAUCUUCGUCAGUGGGGACGGAUCUGAAGUGCUGACGAGGCUCUGUGGACGACACACCUGUCACUGCAGAGCCUGCAGGAUUAAUUCUUCUUAAUCAAGAGCAGUCUUGGGACUCGGCAGGAAUUCAAGGAAACUCACCAGGGAAACGUGGACCUGCUGUAGCGCAGAGGGGGCACAGGCACACGACAGUACUGAG